rnacentral:misc_RNA from 1 species
UACGUAGGGUGCAAGCGUUAAUCGGAAUUACUGGGCGUAAAGCGUGCGCAGGCGGUCUUGCAAGACAGAUGUGAAAUCCCCGGGCUUAACCUGGGAACUGCAUUUGUGACUGCAAGGCUGGAGUACGGUAGAGGGGGAUGGAAUUCCGCGUGUAGCAGUGAAAUGCGUAGAUAUGCGGAGGAACACCGAUGGCGAAGGCGAACCCCUGGACCUGUACUGACGCUCAUGCACGAAAGCGUGGGGAGCAAACAGG